rnacentral:rRNA from 1 species
CCUACGGGUGGCAGCAGUGAGGAAUAUUGGUCAAUGGUCGCGAGCCUGAACCAGCCAAGUAGCGUGAAGGAUGACUGUCCUACGGGUCGUAAACUUCUUUUAUAAGGGAAUAAAGUGAGGCACGUGUGCCUGUUUGUAUGUACUUUAUGAAUAAGCAUCGGCUAACUCCGUGCCAGCAGCCGCGGUAAUACGGAGGAUCCGAGCGUUAUCCGGAUUUAUUGGGUUUAAAGGGAGCGUAGAUGGGUUGUUAAGUCAGGUGUGAAAGUUAUCGGCUCAACCGUAAAAUUGCAGUUGAUAUUGGCAGCCUUGAGGACGGUUGAGGUAGGCGGAAUGCGUGGUGUAGCGGUGAAAUGCUUAGAUAUCGCGAAGAACUCCGAUUGCGAAGGCAGCUUGCUGGCCUGCCACUGACGUUGAUGCUCGAAAGUGUGGGUAUCAAACAGGAUUAGAUACCCCGGUAGUC